UACGUAGGGUGCGAGCGUUAAUCGGAAUUACUGGGCGUAAAGCGUGCGCAGGCGGCCGAUUAAGUCGAGUGUGAAAGCCCCGAGCUUAACUUGGGAACUGCGCUCGAAACUACUUGGCUAGAGUGUGGCAGAGGGAGGUGGAAUUCCACGUGUAGCGGUGAAAUGCGCAGAUAUCAGGAGGAACACCGGUGGCGAAGGCGGGUCUCUGGGCCGUAACUGACGCUGAGGAGCGAAAGCGUGGGGAGCAAACAGG
rnacentral:rRNA from 1 species